rnacentral:rRNA from 1 species
GGUUAAGUGAAUAAGGGCGCACGGUGGAUGCCUUGGCACUAGGAGCCGAUGAAGGACGGGACUAACACCGAUAUGCUUUGGGGAGCUGUAAGUAAGCUAUGAUCCAGAGAUUUCCGAAUGGGGGAACCCAAUAUCUUUUAUAGGAUAUUACUUUUCAGUGAAUACAUAGCUGAUUAGAGGUAGACGCAGAGAACUGAAACAUCUUAGUAUCUGCAGGAAGAGAAAGAAAAUUCGAUUCCCUGAGUAGCGGCGAGCGAAACGGGAAGAGCCCAAACCAACAAGCUUGCUUGUUGGGGUUGUAGGACUCCAAUAUGGUAGUCUGUUAGUAUAGUUGAAGGAUUUGGAAAAUUCCGCUAAAGAGGGUGAAAGCCCCGUAGACGAAAUGCUAACAACACCUAGGAGGAUCCUGAGUACGGCGGAACACGAGAAAUUCCGUCGGAAUCCGCGGGGACCAUCCCGCAAGGCUAAAUACUCCCUAGUGACCGAUAGUGAACCAGUACCGUGAGGGAAAGGUGAAAAGCACCCCGGAAGGGGAGUGAAAUAGAUCCUGAAACCGUGUGCCUACAACAAGUCAAAGCUCGUUAAUGAGUGAUGGCGUGCCUUUUGUAGAAUGAACCGGCGAGUUACGAUUGCAUGCGAGGUUAAGUCGAAGAGACGGAGCCGCAGCGAAAGCGAGUCUGAAUAGGGCGAAUGAGUAUGUAGUCGUAGACCCGAAACCAUGUGAUCUACCCAUGUCCAGGUUGAAGGUGCGGUAAAACGCACUGGAGGACCGAACCCACGUACGUUGAAAAGUGCGGGGAUGAGGUGUGGGUAGCGGAGAAAUUCCAAACGAACUUGGAGAUAGCUGGUUCUCUCCGAAAUAGCUUUAGGGCUAGCCUCGGAAUUGAGAAUGAUGGAGGUAGAGCACUGUUUGGACUAGGGGCCCAUCUCGGGUUACCGAAUUCAGAUAAACUCCGAAUGCCAUUCAUUUAUAUCCGGGAGUCAGACUGCGAGUGAUAAGAUCCGUAGUCGAAAGGGAAACAGCCCAGACCACCAGCUAAGGUCCCAAAAUAUAUGUUAAGUGGAAAAGGAUGUGGGGUUGCACAGACAACUAGGAUGUUGGCUUAGAAGCAGCCACCAUUUAAAG